rnacentral:rRNA from 1 species
AGCUCCAAUAGCGUAUAUUAAAGUUGUUGCAGUUAAAAAGCUCGUAGUUGGAUUUCUGGUAUGUUGCGCCUGGCCCGUCUCAAUAGAGUUAUGUGUGCCGGUGCGCGAUUGCCAUCCAUCCAGAAACCGUCUCAAUCCUUCACUGGGUUGUUUCGCGAUCUGGAUCUUUUACUUUGAAAAAAUUAGAGUGUUUAAAGCAGGCUUGCGCUAUGAAUACAUUAGCAUGGAAUAAUAAUCUAGGACUUUCGUUCUAUUUUGUUGGUUUUCUGAAUGAAAGUAAUGAUUGGUAGGGAUAGUUGGGGGUGCUAGUAUUGAGUGGCCAGAGGUGAAAUUCUUGGAUUCACUCAAGACUAACUUAUGCGAAAGCAUUCACCAAGGAUGUCUUCUUUAAUCAAGAACG